GUCUAUGGCCAUAUCACCCUGAAUGCACCCGAUUUUAUCUGAUGUCAGAAGCUAAGCAGGGUCCGGAUGGAUUAGCACUUGGAUGGGAGACACUGUCUUUUAUACAGU
rnacentral:rRNA from 1 species